rnacentral:rRNA from 1 species
GGUGCAGUAACAUGCACUGGAGGACCGAACCCACGUAUGUUGAAAAAUGCGGGGAUGACUUGUGUCUAGGGGUGAAAGGCCAAUCAAACCUGGAAAUAGCUGGUUCUCCGCGAAAUCUAUUUAGGUAGAGCGUCACGUGAAUACCCUCGGGGGUAGAGCACUGGAUGGGCUAGGGGGACUCACCGUCUUACCAAACCUAACCAAACUCCGAAUACCGAUGAGUAAUAUCUGGCAGACACACUACGGGUGCUAAGGUCCGUAGUGGAAAGGGAAACAGCCCUGACCGCCAGCUAAGGUCCCUAAGUUAUGGCUAAGUGGGAAAGGAUGUGAGAGUGCAUAGACAACCAGGAUGUUGGCUUAGAAGCAGCCAUCAUUUAAAGAAAGCGUAACAGCUCACUGGUCUAGAUAAGUUGUCCUGCGGCGAAGAUGUACCGGGGCUCAAGCCAUGAGCCGAAGCUGAGGAUGCACGUAAGUGCGUGGUAGCGGAGCG